rnacentral:rRNA from 2 species
UAUACAUGCAAGUCGAGCGGACAGAUGGGAGCUUGCUCCCUGAUGUUAGCGGCGGACGGGUGAGUAACACGUGGGUAACCUGCCUGUAAGACUGGGAUAACUCCGGGAAACCGGGGCUAAUACCGGAUGGUUGUUUGAACCGCAUGGUUCAGACAUAAAAGGUGGCUUCGGCUACCACUUACAGAUGGACCCGCGGCGCAUUAGCUAGUUGGUGAGGUAACGGCUCACCAAGGCGACGAUGCGUAGCCGACCUGAGAGGGUGAUCGGCCACACUGGGACUGAGACACGGCCCAGACUCCUACGGGAGGCAGCAGUAGGGAAUCUUCCGCAAUGGACGAAAGUCUGACGGAGCAACGCCGCGUGAGUGAUGAAGGUUUUCGGAUCGUAAAGCUCUGUUGUUAGGGAAGAACAAGUGCCGUUCAAAUAGGGCGGCACCUUGACGGUACCUAACCAGAAAGCCACGGCUAACUACGUGCCAGCAGCCGCGGUAAUACGUAGGUGGCAAGCGUUGUCCGGAAUUAUUGGGCGUAAAGGGCUCGCAGGCGGUUUCUUAAGUCUGAUGUGAAAGCCCCCGGCUCAACCGGGGAGGGUCAUUGGAAACUGGGGAACUUGAGUGCAGAAGAGGAGAGUGGAAUUCCACGUGUAGCGGUGAAAUGCGUAGAGAUGUGGAGGAACACCAGUGGCGAAGGCGACUCUCUGGUCUGUAACUGAGUACUCAGGAGCGAAAGCGUGGGGAGCGAACAGGAUUAGAUACCCUGGUAGUCCACGCCGUAGACGAUGAGUGCUAAGUGUUAGGGGGUUUCCGCCCCUUAGUGCUGCAGCUAACGCAUUAAGCACUCCGCCUGGGGAGU